rnacentral:tRNA from 1 species
GCAUUGGUGAUUCAGUGAUAGAAUUCUCACCUUCCAUGCAGGAGACCCGGGUUCUAUUCCCAGCCGAUUUA